UACGUAGGCAGCAAGCGUUGUUCGGAGUUACUGGGCGUAAAGGGUGUGUAGGCGGUUCUUUUAAGUUUGGUGUGAAAUCUCCCGGCUCAACUGGGAGGGUGCGCCGAAUACUGAGGGACUAGAGUACGGGAGAGGAAAGUGGAAUUCCUGGUGUAGCGGUGAAAUGCGUAGAUAUCAGGAGGAACACCUGUGGUGUAGACGGCUUUCUGGACCAUAGCUGACGCUGAGACACGAAAGCGUGGGUAGCAAACAGG
rnacentral:rRNA from 1 species